AUUUGACAAACUUGCUGAGUUUGGAUCUUUACUCGAACAACAUUACUGGUCAAAUUCCAGAAGAAUUAGCCAAUCUUAAAAAACUAGAAUCCCUGCGCCUCAACAAAAAUAGCUUGUCAGGAAAGAUUCCUAUGGGUUUGACCACCAUUGAUACACUGAUAGUUCUUGACUUAUCGUCCAACAACUUAACAGGGAAUUUCCCAGCCAAUGGUUCAUUUUCAAGUUUUACUCCCAUCAGUUUUAGCGAUAAUCGUUUCUUGGUGCAAGCCAUUCCGAUUUCACCACCCCCUACACAGAAACAAAAUCCUUCAGGUCAAAAUAAUGAAAGAUUGAGGCAUCCAAAUGUUGUUCUCUUCAUGGGAGCAGUAACUCAGACCUCCAAAUCUUUCAAUUGUUACUGAAUUUCUUCCCAGUGAUGCAAAUGAGCCUGAGUCUUCUAUGGGUACAAGAGGAUCAUCUGGUGGUAGCAACAUUUAGGGUGUUGAUGAUGUUUUUUAGGAUGAAACUAUUUUAGUGUAUUAUGAACUUUGAGUAAGUAUGGAUUAAGUUGUAAUUGUUUCAAUUUAAAUUGCUUUUAUGUUAAUAUGUUGAUUUUGAGAAUCAAAAGUUCUAAUGAUAUAUAUUUGAG